AUAAAGUUUUAUUUUGGCUUAUAAAUUUAUUAUUAGUUAAAUUUACAUGUAAAUUUUUGUGAGAAUUUUUAUUUAUUUAAAUAAUAAAUAAUUUUUUUUUAUUCGCAGUAAUUAAUAUUAUUAAUUAAAGAAAUUUGGAAAUAGUUAUAUUAAAGAGUAUUGGCUAAAUUUGUGCCAGCAGCCGCGGUUAUACGAAUAAUACAAAUAAAUUUUUUUUAGUGAAAGUUAAAUUGUUUAUUAAUUAGGUGAGAAAUAAAUUUAUUAGGUGAAAUUUUAAAUUUAUAAUUUAUAUGUAUAUAUUAAUUGAAACUUAAAAAUUUUAAUAAUAAACUAGGAUUAGAUACCCUAUUAUUUAAAAUGUAUAUAAGGAAGCUAAGGUAGUAGUAGUUAUGUUCUUGAAACUUAAAAAAUUUGGCGGUAUUUUAGUCUAUUCAGAGGAACCUGUUCUGUAAUCGAUAAUCCACGAUGGACCUUACUUAAGUUUGUAAUCAGUUUAUAUACCGUCGUUAUUAGAAUAUUUUAUGAGAACGUUAAUUUUCAGAAUUUAAGAAAAUAAAGUAUAUCAGAUCAAGGUGUAGCUAAUAUUUAAGUAGAAAUGGGUUACAAUAAAUUUAUUUAAACGAAUAUAAAUUUGAAAUAUUUAUUGAAGGUGGAUUUGAUAGUAAAAUUAUAAAGAUUAAUAAUUUGAUUUUAGCUCUAAAAUAUGCACACAUCGCCCGUCACUCUUAUUAUUAAGGUAAGAUAAGUCGUAACAUAGUAGAUGUACUGGAAAGUGUACCUAGAAUGC
rnacentral:ncRNA from 1 species